rnacentral:rRNA from 1 species
CCUGCCCAAGAGAUCGGGAUAACACCUGGAAACAGAUGCUAAUACCGGAUAACAACAGAUGAUGCCUAUCAACUGUUUAAAAGAUGGUUCUGCUAUCACUCUUGGAUGGACCUGCGGUGCAUUAGCUAGUUGGUAGGGUAACGGCUUACCAAGGCGAUGAUGCAUAGCCGAGUUGAGAGACUGAUCGGCCACAUUGGGACUGAGACACGGCCCAAACUCCUACGGGAGGCAGCAGCG